AUUGAACGCUAGCGGGAUGCCUUACACAUGCAAGUCGAACGGAGUGGCGAACGGGUGAGUAAUGUAUCGGAACGUGCCCGGUAGCGGGGGAUAACUUCGAGAAAGCGGAGCUAAUACCGCAUACGAUCAGAACGGCCGAGGUCGGAUUAGCUAGGUGGUGGGGUAACGGCUCACCAAGGCGACGAUCCGUAGCUGGUUUGAGAGGACGACCAGUCACACUGGGACUGAGACACGGCCCAGACUCCUACGGGAGGCAGCAGUGGGGAAUUUUGGACAAUGGGGGAAACCCUGAUCCAGCCAUCCCGCGUGUGUGAUGAAGGCCUUCGGGUUGUAAAGCACUUUUGGUAGGAAAGCGUUACCUGCAGAAUAAGCACCGGCUAACUCCGUGCCAGCAGCCGCGGUAAUAC
rnacentral:rRNA from 1 species